CCCUUAGAUGUUCUGGGCCGCACGCGCGCUACACUGAUGCAUUCAACGAGUCCAACCUUGACCGAGAGGUCCGGGUAAUCUUUGAAACUGCAUCGUGAUGGGGCUAGAUUAUUGCAAUUAUUAAUCUUCAACGAGGAAUGCCUAGUAAGCGUGAUUCAUCAAAUCGCGUUGAUUACGUCCCUGCCCUUUGUACACACCACCCGUCGCUCCUACCGAUUGAGUGUGUUGGUGAGGAGUUUGGAUUGGCCUCGGAAGGUGGUUCGCCACCGUCCGUAGCUGAGAAGUUCUCCAAACCGCCCCACUUAGAGGAAGGAGAAGUCGUAACA
rnacentral:rRNA from 1 species